UGCAUAUCCAAUAAGCGGAGGAAAAGAAACCAACGGGGAUUGCCCCAGUAACGGCGAGUGAAGCGGCAACAGCUCAAAUUUGAAAUCUGCCCCGCUCGGGGCCGAGUUGUAAUUUGCAGAGGAAGCUUUCGGCGCGGUGCCUACCGAGUCCCCUGGAACGGGGCGCCAGAGAGGGUAAGAGCCCCGUAUAGUGGGAUGCCAAGCCAGUGUAAAGCUCCUUCGACGAGUCGAGUAGUUUGGGAAUGCUACUCUAAACGGGAGGUAAAUUCCUUCUAAAGCUAAAUACCUGCCAGAGACCGAUAGCGCACAAGUAGAGUGAUCGAAAGAUGAAAAGCACUUUGGAAAGAGAGUCAAACAGCACGUGAAAUUGUUGAAAGGGAAGCGCCUGUGACCAGACUUGCGCUGGGUCGAUCUCCCGCCGUUCUCGGCGGUGCACUCGGCCCGGCUCAGGCCAGCAUCGGUUUCCACAGGGGGAUAAAAGCACCGGGAAUGUAACUCCCUCGGGAGUGUUAUAGCCCGGGGCAUAAUACCUCUGCGGGGACCGAGGACCGCGCCCUGCGAGGAUGCUGGCGUAAUGAUCACCAGCGACCCGUCUUGA
rnacentral:rRNA from 1 species